GGUUCUAUAGCUUAGUUGGUUAGAGCAUUGGUCUUAUGAGCCAAAAAUCGUGGGUUCAAAUCUCACCAGAACCA